GCCUGAUGCAGCAACGCCGCGUGAGGGACGACGGCCUUCGGGUUGUAAACCUCUUUUAGUAGGGAAGAAGCGAAAGUGACGGUACCUGCAGAAAAAGCACCGGCUAACUACGUGCCAGCAGCCGCGGUAAUACGUAGGGUGCAAGCGUUAUCCGGAAUUAUUGGGCGUAAAGAGCUCGUAGGCGGUUUGUCGCGUCUGCUGUGAAAACUGGAGGCUCAACCUCCAGCCUGCAGUGGGUACGGGCAGACUAGAGUGCGGUAGGGGAGAUUGGAAUUCCUGGUGUAGCGGUGGAAUGCGCAGAUAUCAGGAGGAACACCGAUGGCGAAGGCAGAUCUCUGGGCCGUAACUGACGCUGAGGAGCGAAAGCGUGGGGAGCGAACAGGAUUAGAUACCCUGGUAGUCCACGCCGUAAACGUUGGGAACUAGAUGUGGGGGCCAUUCCACGGCUUCCGUGUCGCAGCUAACGCAUUAAGUUCCCCGCCUGGGGAGUACGGCCGCAAGGCUAAAACUCAAAGGAAUUGACGGGGGCCCGCACAAGCGGCGGAGCAUGCGGAUUAAUUCGAUGCAACGCGAAGAACCUUACCAAGGCUUGACAUAUACGAGAACGCUGCAGAAAUGUAGAACUCUUUGGACACUCGUA
rnacentral:rRNA from 1 species